UACGAAGGGGGCGAGCGUUGUUCGGAUUUACUGGGCGUAAAGGGCGCGCAGGCGGCGACAUUUUGUCAGGCGUGAAAGCCCCGGGCUUAACCUGGGAACUGCGCUUGAUACGGUGUGGCUAGAGUUCGGGAGAGGAGAGUGGAAUUCCCAGUGUAGAGGUGAAAUUCGUAGAUAUCGGGAAGAACACCCGUGGCGAAGGCGGCUCUCUGGGACGGUACUGACGCUGAGACGCGAAAGCGUGGGGAGCGAACAGG
rnacentral:rRNA from 1 species